AUGCCCGUCCGCCCCUUUCACACAUCCUCUGUCCAGUACAUUUUUCAGGGUAACGGGGUGUUGGCAACUUGGUGGCGCCGUUGUUCUUCCGAAAUGAGGAUCCGGGGCUCGCUGGUGCUGCUAAUGCAUGUCCUGCUCUGCCUGGUAAGCGGCGCCUACUCUGGCCGCACGAGCUCUUACGUGCGUAAUGAGUUUCCGUCCGACGACAUUCCUCUAGAGCACGAGUCUCUUGCGGUUCCGAAUGGCCAUAACGCUCCACAACAGGUUCAUAUCACUCAAGGUGACUAUGACGGGAAAGCCGUCAUAAUCUCGUGGGUUACGGCGUUGGAACCCACAAGGAGUGAGGUGUUUUACGGUGAACAGGAGAAACACUAUGAUCGGAAAGCCAAAGGGAGGAUGACGAAUUAUACAUUCUACGACUAUCGAUCUGGAUACAUACAUCACUGCCUUGUUGAUAGCCUUGAGUAUAACACGAAGUAUUACUACAAGAUUGGAACAGGAGAUUCAGCUCGAGAAUUUUGGUUUCAAACACCUCCAGCAAUUGAUCCAGAUGCACCCUACACAUUUGGCAUCAUAGGUGAUCUGGGGCAAACAUUUAAUUCACUCUCAACUCUUCAACAUUAUGUGAAAAGUGGAGGACAAAGUGUUUUAUAUGUUGGGGACUUGUCUUAUGCUGAUAAAUAUGAAGACAAUGAUGGCGGUCGGUGGGAUUCUUGGGGUCGACUUGUUGAACGUAGCACUGCAUAUCAACCAUGGAUAUGGAACUCUGGGAAUCAUGAGAUAGAAUACAUGCCUGAUCUGGGAGAAACUUCUACAUUUAAGCCAUAUCUGCAUAGAUAUGCAACACCAUAUUUGGCAUCAAAGAGCAACUCCCCAAUGUGGUAUGCAGUCAGGCGUGCAUCGGCUCAUAUUAUCGUGCUCUCUAGCUAUUCCCCAUUCGUAAAAUUCACUCCUCAAUACAAGUGGCUGAAGAAGGAACUGAAGCGCGUGGACCGGGAGGAGACACCUUGGCUUAUUGUUCUCAUGCACGUUCCCAUGUACAGCAGCAACGAUGCACAUUAUAUGGAGGGCGAGAGCAUGAGGGUUGCUUUCGAGGAAUGGUUCAUCAAGUACGAUGUGGACCUGGUAUUCGCGGGCCAUGUCCAUGCUUACGAGAGAUCGCACCGUGUAUCCAAUGUGGACUACAAGGUGACAUCGGGGAGUCGAUACCCGGUGCCAGAUGAAUCCGCUCCCGUGUACAUAACAGUUGGCGAUGGAGGCAACACAGAAGGACUCGCUUCGAGGUUCAACGACCCGCAACCGGACUACUCCGCGUUCAGGAAGGCCAGUUAUGGGCACUCGACCCUGCAGCUGAAGAACAGGACGCACGCCGUCUAUCAGUGGCAUAGGAACGAUGAUGGGAAGCAUGUGCUGGCGGACAAAGUGGUGUUCCACAACCAACUAGAAGAACGCCCGUGCGUUGCAACGGGGCCACAUUAA
rnacentral:rRNA from 1 species